GCACGACUCUCGGCAACGGAUAUCUCGGCCCUCGCCACGAUGAAGAACGUAGCGAAAUGCGAUACUUAGUGUGAAUUGCAGAAUCCCGUGAAUCAUCGAGUCUUUGAACGCAAGUUGCGCCCGAGGCUUCGGCCAAGGGCACGUCUGCCUGGGUGUCGUAU
rnacentral:rRNA from 1 species